AGACAAUCUAUAUCUCCGAGUUCGUAAUCCUACGGAAUUUCUAGGGGUUAUGAUCCUGAGCCACGAGCUCACAGGGUGUAGCAGGAAACAGCUAUACCUCCCGAAUUGGAAAGGAGAAAGAAUAGUAGUUUU
rnacentral:ncRNA from 2 species